AAUAAUAAAUCACUCAUAUAGUGAGGAGGGGUUGGGUGGACAGGGAGAUCGAGCGAGGGGAGGGGAGAGAGGUAACAGGGGUGAGGGAGAGGGGUAGGAGAUGUGGGAGGGUGAUAGGGGGAGGGAUGACAGUAUGAAGUGAGAUGAGAGGAAUGGAGUUAGAGAUGGGGAGGUGGGUGAGGGUUUGAGGAGAGGGGUUUGUGCUUCGGGAAUUUACCAGUUCAUGGCUGUGUCACUUUCCCAGAUGUUGGGUUAAGUCCCGUAACGAGCGCAACCCUUUCCUUUGUUACCAGCACGUAUGGUGGGCACUCUAGGAGACUGCCGGUGAAAACCGGAGGAAGGUGGGGAUGACGUCAAGUCAUCAUGGCCCUUACGGCCUGGGUACACACGUGCUACAAUGGUCGUACAGAGGGUUCCAAUCGCGAGGAGGUAAUCUCAAAACCCAUGGUAUUCCGGAUGCUUCUCCAAGCUCGAUUAGUGGUAUCAGGGUAAGCAAGUAUGGACUCAUUUUUCUCCGGGUCGUAACGUGUAACCAGGGUAACCCAGUACUGGAUCCCUCCUAGGAGUUUGAUCCCCUGGCCUCCAGGAAGGUGUAACCAAGGGUAACCCCAGUAUUGAUUCCCCG
rnacentral:rRNA from 1 species